rnacentral:rRNA from 1 species
UGGGGAAUUUUGGACAAUGGGCGAAAGCCUGAUCCAACCAUGCCGCGUGAGUGAAGAAGGCCUUCGGGUUGUAAAGCUCUUUUAGUCGGAAAGAAAGAGUUGCAAUGAAUAAUUGUGAUUUAUGACGGUACCGACAGAAAAAGCACCGGCUAACUACGUGCCAGCAGCCGCGGUAAUACGUAGGGUGCGAGCGUUAAUCGGAAUUACUGGGCGUAAAGGGUGCGCAGGCGGUCUUGCAAGUCAGAUGUGAAAGCCCCGGGCUUAACCUGGGAAUUGCGUUUGAAACUACAAGGCUAGAGUGCAGCAGAGGGGAGUGGAAUUCCAUGUGUAGCAGUGAAAUGCGUAGAGAUGUGGAAGAACACCGAUGGCGAAGGCAGCUCCCUGGGUUGACACUGACGCUCAUGCACGAAAGCGUGGGGAGCAAACA